rnacentral:lncRNA from 1 species
UGUUUUGUUUAUGGUCUCAUGUUGAAACAGUGAGAAGUGAAGGGAUUUCAGGUGUUGGAGGUGCUCAUGGGAGCUUGCAAUGGCUUUCCAUUGGAUUAUGGCCAAAACUAAAACACCAAGAACAUACUUCUGUGAGGAAGCCAUAAUAUGUUGAUUGCUUCUUCUCAUCAGAAUGGAUACAACACUGAUAUCUCGUUUCAUUAUAUACAAGAAAAACAUGUUUUUUCUUUUUGGCACAAAACAAUAUUGAUGUCAAUAGAAUCAAUAUCCAAGUCGUUUGAGGUUGUCAUUUAUAUUGUAUAAUAUCAUUUGAUUUUGGCUGCAAGAUUAUUUAGGUUUCUACAAUUAAUACACAAUCAACGUAGUGGAAGUAAAUAGUGCUCUCCAUUUAGUCUUCAAUCCAAUGUUGUGAAAAUUCUCUUAAUGUAUUUAAUGUUUUAUAUGAUUACUAGCCAACAAUUAAUUUUCUUAUCAAAUCCUUUUUGGAGUUAAUUUUGGUUUCAUGUGGACUUAAAAUUCACUUUUUUAUAUUACAUUAAUCUUUUAGAUAUAUAUCUUUAAUUAAAGGGUUUUUAAUAUAUUUAAUCGAUGCUGAAUGUAAAUCGAUAUGUUACAUAAGAUAUGUAUACAUUAAUGUUAAAAAAGAUUAUAUUGAUCAAAUUGAAUUUUAAUAUUUCCAAAAUUAAAAGAUUUAAAUACAUAUAAUUGAAUAUUAAAAUUGAAUUUUUAUAUAUAAUAAAAAAAUAAUAAAAUGUGUUUUGUUGUAAACAUGACAAUAUUAUUUUAAUCCUCUAAAUUAUAGUUUAUUGGAAAAUUUUAAAAAUAAUAUAUAUCAACAUCACGUGCAUCUAAAUUUUGACAUAUCAUAAAUUACCUCAAAAUAAUUGCAACAGGAAAUGAUCGAAAUAAAUUUUUUUUUAGGAAGACUAAAAUGAUCUUAGUGAAGAGAGUUUGAGUAUUAAUUUAUAUGAAAUCUUAGUAUUAAAAUAAAAUUAGUCAUUAUAUUAAAAGUGGACAUUCUCAAUAUUUUCAGUUUUAUAUCAUUUUGUGCACAUUUCACACACUAUGAUUCGUCCAACUUAGGGAAAAAAAAAAUCCAGUCCAUAGUAGUCUUUUCAUACGUAAUCUUAGUUGCUUUUUAGUAUCUUUUUCUAUAAAUUAUAAUAAAUUAGUUGUUAUGCAUUAACCUGAAUUUUAAAAUAUGUUUUUGUCUUUAAAUUUUAAAUUAUGUUAAAUUUUAUUAACUUCUCAAAUAUGUUUUAUAUUAGUAUUUGACUUAUACUGGUUGAUAUGUUUUUCUUUUAAUAUUAGUUAAAAUAUGUUAAAAUAAAUUAAUAUAACUAAAUGAAAAGAAUUAUGUUUAUUAAUUUUAAAAUUUAAAAAGUAAAAUAUAUCCUAGUUUUAAAAAAAUUGAAUUUUAAUUUUGUGUAAAUUUAAAACUAAAAAUAUAUUUAAUUCUAUAAAUAGUUAUACUCAGUAGUGAUGAAAUUUUGGUGUUAAUAAUAAAAAUUAUCUCUUAUAGAAUACGGAUGUUAUUUCUUAAAAAAGUGGAGUACAUAUAUCAUUUCACUAACUCAUUGGACAUACUUAUUAAAUAAAAAAAAAAACAAAUACACAAUAAAUAUAAAUAAAAAGUUCAGUAUUAAAUAUCACCAUAAAUGACAACUUGGUCAUAACUGGUAAAUUAAAAUAAUCUCAAAUUUAUUGAUUUUUUUCCUGACAUAAUAUGACCAUGAACUGAUAUUGUUGGUGGUAAUUCCUCAGAUCCUAUUUUAUUUGAGGAUAAAAUAACUAAUAAGUUCAAUAACACUUCAUUUUUAUUUUGAAUAUGAAAACCAAAAAUUAUUAGGAACCAAAUAAAAGUUUUCAACUUUUUAGUAGGAAAUUUACAAUUGAGAUAUUAUUAUUAUUAUUAUUAUUAUUAUUAUUAUUAUUAUUAUUAUAUUUAAUUUUCACGACUUGGUGGAUUGAAAUUAUUUAACUAAAUCUGUUCCUAAUUAUUAAUAAUACAUUUGGAAUAAUAGAAUAAUAUAAUAUAUAGACUUGAAAUGAGUGGAAUGUUACUUUAUUGUUUGAACACCUUUUAAUGGAAGGGAAAUAAAAUUUAAAUUUCGUAAUUUGAAAAUUGAUAGAUCAAAUUGAGUUAUUCUUACUUAUCAAAGAUGUUGUUAGUACAAUAUUUCUUUCUUAUAUUAUUAUUCUAUUUUUUUUGAUGCGUAUAGGAUGUUCAUUAUGAAUCUUUGAAGAGAUAUAUCUCUUAUAUUUAUGUUUAAAAUAGAAUCGGUAAAUAUAAAUAGUAAAUUUACAAAAAGUUUUUCUUUUUUGUUACAAGCACUCUAAAUUGAGAAAAAGAAAAUUAGGGUUUAACAAGGGAUCAUAUAUUUUGAUAAAUUAAGUAUAAAUGUGAAUGUGAGAUUCCACAUUAGAUCAAAAUAAAGAAGUUGAAUAUCAUAUAAAAAUAAAGUUUUAUAAAUAUAAUGUAUGAAAAUAUUGUGUUUCAUAUAUAACCAAUUCACACUUUUCAAACAGAUAUACAAUAUGAAUGAAAUUCAGAGGAGGAGAAAAUUUGUAGAGUAGAAAUGUGAAUAUAAAGUUUCACUUUAGAAGAAAUUGAAAAGUUAUAUAUUUUAUAGCAUAUAAUAAAAGGUAAAGUUACUUAGUUAAAUAUAACAAUAAAAGAAUAGGGAUAGAAAAUUGUAUGAGUUUUAUAUAAUGUUAAAAUCAUAGUAGUUGGUAUGGUGACAUUACCCUUCCACUUAGGAAAGCAAAAGUCAAGUUGAUUUAUGUAUAUAGAAACAAGAAAAGUGGUAAUAAUGAUGAACAACCACAAUAAAUCUUGCAUUUAAAACAUGUUCACAUCUACUUUUUCAACAUUUGAAUUAAGCUAAUAAUUUAAUUUCCAUUACAAAAAACUUUGGAUCAAGAUUGUUGAAAAAAUUCUUUUACAUUUUUAAAUUUUUUAUAUUUACUUGACUUUAUUUUUAUUCUUCUUUUUAAAAAAUAUUAAAUUUUAUAAUUUUUAAAUUAUUUUAUUUUAUAUUAUAUAUUAAAUGAAUGUAAAAAUGUCUCAUCGUAUGGUAUGUAUAUCGUAUGAUAGAUUGUUAUUACUUUUAAAACAAUAAAUUUUAAUCAGACUUAUCAUGUUUAGCUAUCACAUCAAACUUAGGAUUCUAAACAAUGAAUAUAUGUAAGUUUAAUAACACGUUGAAGAUAAUGGAGUACAGCAAUCUGAAUAGAGCCAAAUGUUUUUUUGUUUAAAUAACACGUUGCAUAUAUUGUGAAUUUUAAUAUGAUAGUUAUUUAAAAUAAUCAUUUUUACUAUAUAAUACUGACAGACUUCACAUUUUAAAAUAAAGAUGUUUUUAACUAUUAAUUUUUAAUAUAUAUUUUACAUAUUUUAAUUGCUUAUAUAGCAUUAAGGGUAAGAAAACAAAUAAAUCUAAGACUUAAUUACUUCAAUGAUUUCCACUUUAGAGGAAUGUGUCAACUUAGUCACCCUUUUUAAUUUUGUGUUAAUUUUAUCUCUAAAUUUGUUAAUAUGCAUCAAUGUAAUCCUUCUUAUUAAUUUUUCAGAAACGACAUUAAGAUUAUGGUUAUGUGGCAGUUAAUAGAUACAUGUCAAAAAUUUUAAUUGUACACUGAAAAUUGGGAAUGUUUAUGUGUCAAGUUUUUCCUUUUAAUGAUACACUGAAAAUGAGAUUGUUUAUGUGUCAAGAUUUUCCUUUUAAUGAAAAAGAUUGAAGUUUUCCCUAACAAGUGGUUUGGGGUUUCCACUGUUUGUUUCUCCUUUGUAAUUGGUUGAUGAAGUGUGUAAUGUCUCGUAAUCAAGCUUGUUCUUCUUGUUCUUGGAGGACACAAAUCUAUAACAUCUCCUCUCUUGGUGGUUGGUUUAGGAGCUUAGGUUUUUCAUUAUGUGAAAGUUGCAAUGUUGAAAGUGGCUAAAACGGUCAAGAAUGAUGGGAAACAAUUUUGAAGUUGUCCUAAAUACAAAGUUUGAUCUAUGAUUUUAAUUUUCAUUUCAAGUAUAUAUUUUUUUUUUCUUAUUAACAAUGAGUGUUUCAUGUUAACAAAAUCUUUGUUAUUAUUGGAUUUUUUUUAAAAAUAGAAUGGAAAUAAAGAUUUUAACGGGUGUAAUUAUUUCAAAUGGAGCAAUGAAGAUAACGGAGAUGAAAUGGGUGUUACUAUUGGUAGACAAAGAAAGAUCUAUAAAUUGAAAAAAUCCUUUAUGGUUUCUAAAAAAUGGGUUAAGUUGCUAAUAAAGAUGAUAUGUUUUAUGGGUUUGAUUAACAUAAUUCUUGUUUGUAUGUUGCUUAAACUUCCAAGAAAUGUUGUAAAAGUGACAUAUGUUGUCAUUAACAAGCUAUAUACUUUAUAGGUUAUACUAAGUGUGAUGUACUUAGUUUUAUAUUGUAAUCUCAUUAAAUGAAUGAAAAGUGUUGUAUGUUUUUAUAAUGUAACUUUAUUAAAUGAAUGAGAAGUUUGAGUAAUAUGUAGAGAAGUAUAGAAGUUAAUUUUUGCUACAAAAUAUACAUGAAAUUAAUUCUAGAUACAUUCAAAUAGAGAAUAUUGUUCUUCAAAAUAAAUAUGUUGCUAAGCAACAUAAGUACAUAUAAUAAGCAAAAUAAAGUGCGGAGAAAAAAAUAAGGUGUUUAAUACAUAUUAAAGUUCCAAAUUAUAUGUAUUUCAAAAUAGGCGAAAUACAUAAUGAAGUUCCAAAUACACAUGGCAGUUGCAAAUUAUACAUAAAUAUAGUUUCAUGGUUUCCAAACUGGGCUCCUCUUAUAUGGAAAUUUCUCUCUAAUGAUGGGUCUUGCAAUUGGUUGAGUUUGUUAGGUUUAUGGGAAUUGGCAUGCAAUAAUUUGACUUCCUUCACGUGGUAUUGUUGGGUCUAUUGAAGUUGGUUGAGUUCCUUCAGAAUGUGCAAGAGGUGUGGUUGUUGGCUUUGUAGUUGGUGAGCUUGCCUAGUCUUCUAUUUGAGAGGUUUGUGAGCAAUUAUUUCUUUUGUGAUCUUAUAUGAUUUUAUCAAGGUUCAUAUAUCUCCUCCAUGGUAGACAAUUCUUAUUUUUCACGUAGUUGUGAUCAUAUAAUGAAACUUUGUUCAUCAGUUAUGGAUCCUGUUCAUGACUUCUUUUUUUAAUGUAAAGGAUGCAAUUGAUCUCUUACAAGGGAAUUUCAUAGUUUCUGCCAACCGAGAACAUAAUCCUUCUCAGAGUCAAGACAUUGAAGCUAUUGCUGUAAGUUCAAUUUCUAGACUAUAUCUUUUUGGUUUUAGAAAAGUUAUCAAAUGCUUCUGUUCCACUGUUUUAAAUCUGUAAUGUUAAACUUGAUUUUUGGAACCAUCUUCUGGGUUCCAAGUCCUUGUGGGUAAUUAUAAUUCAAUAACAUUAAAGUUUUUUUAAAUGGCAGAUUUAUUACUCUACAUGGUGCCUUUUUGCUUUGAUGAUUACUGGAUGCAAUUCCAGAGGAUUUAAAACCAGAUUUGGCUAUCUUGUUACAUACCUAUAAGGAUGUGUUUGCUAUUCCUCAAGGCUUACCUCAUAAUAGGUCACAUGAUCAUCAUAUUCCCUUGCUUCCUAAUGCCAAAAAGAACAAAAUGAGAAAAUGGUAUAUGUUGCAGGAAGGUCUCGUUACCUCUAGGAAAUAGUCCUUUUUCAUCUCCAGUUAGUUGUCUUGUCCUUGUGAAAAAGAAAGAUGAAGCAUGGAGAUUUUGUGUAGAUUAUAGAACCUUGACUGUUAUUAUUAUUAAGGAUAGUUUUCCUAUGUCCACGCUAGAUGAAUUGAUUAACGAAUUAUAUGAUUCCAAAAAAAAUUUCAAAUUAGAUUAAGUCUGAAUAGCACCAAACUUUUGUUAAACAAAGAGGAUUGUUACAAGACUAAUUUUAAUGGCCCUUAUGAGUGGAUAAUCAUAGCAUUUGGUUUGACUAAUUCUCUAAUUACAUUCGAUCCCUCAUGAAUGAGAUUAUGAGAUUUUUACUGGUUUAUUGAGAAAAUAUGAUCCUGUCUUCGUUGAUGAGAUUAUAAUAUAUAGUUCUUCGUGGAAUGAACAUUUGCACCACUUGGAAGUCGUGUUCCAACUUCUAAGGUUGCACCAACUAUUUGCAAAAUUCUGAAAAUGCUCUUUUGGUCUUUCUCAAAUUGAAUAUCUUGACCAUAUAGUCUCGGGUGAAGGAGUAUCAACUGAUGAUGAAUCUGAGACUGUCAAUUGUUGUUUAGAAAUGUACUUGUGUGGUUUAAGUUAUGCAAAUCCGAGGAGUUGGAUCAAGUUCUUGUGAAGGACUCAUAUCACCUUAACAUAGACAUGACAGCUUUUAAGAUGGUAUACAGAAGUGACCCUGUAGAAUUGAUAGGUAUGUCUUGGGUAGUAAUAAUCUUACAUAUUUACAAGAGAUGCUGCCGCAAUCAAGGGACUUGACUCGAUUGAAGGCAAAUCUGUUUGAAGUUCAGCAGAACACGAACAGAAGUGCAGACCAAAAAAGGUUAUAGAUUAAAUUCAAGGAAAAGACAUGGUGCUAGUUAAGUUGCAGCCUUAUAGAUGGAACUCAUCAGCUCUAAGAACAAAAUCAGAAACUAGGCUUUGGGCCUAUUCCAAUUAUGUAUGUAGAAAAUACGUCCUGUGGCAUAAAAUUUGCUUUUGCCAGGCGAAGCCAAAAUACAGAGGAUUAUGUUAUAGGUCAACGACAGGCGUCAAAUGUUUCGGAUGGUCUAAGAAACACACACAAUUUUGUUGAGUAGCACUCCUUCAGUCUCAUUCUUGUUUAGUGGCCAUCACACUGUAAUGCAGAUAUUCAUCACAAUUUUGUCAUCUUUAAUUUUCUUAAUUUUACCUUUCAUUGGACACUGAAAGAAACAAUUAUAUAUAAUCAUUUUUAGCUUAAGAGGAGCUUUUCAGCUAAAGAAAAACUAACAAACAUCUUUCACUCCAGCUUUUAUUUUAAACUUUAACUUAAAAAGAAAACAAAAAAAAAAAAUUGAAUAUCAAAGAGUUGAAGCAGCAUCUUAGGAACACAUAACAGAUUGUAGCAUUCUACCCAUGCAAUGUACCUCAUGAGGAUGGAGUUGCAUACGGAGGCCAGUAAAGAUGAAAUUGAAUUUCGUAGACAACGUUGGGAUCGUAAGGAUUAAGAGGAGAAGACGUAACAUAGCCUUGCACAAACAAGAAAUCUUUAGUGCCUCCUACGACAGGAAGAUUGGUGGAAUCGACGAUAUCUACGAUACCAACAACAGAAAGGGAGCCCUUGUGGUCCUUCAAACUAAGAGUUAGUAUUGCAACUGAAAUGCUUCGGCCGGUAGGACUAGAUAACACUCUAGUUCCUUCUGCGAACCCAACCUGUUCGGAGGAUUUGUUGGCUUCAACUGUCAAACGACCCAGAUAGGCAAACACAUCUGGUCCUCCUUCUAUACCUAAGGUCAAAUCAUGUUGAAACAGUGUAAAGUUAAGGAAUUUCAGGUCUUGGAGGUGCUCAUGGGAGCUUGCAAUGGCUUUCAAUUGGAUUAUGGCCAAAACUAAAACACCAAGAACAUACUUCUGUGAGGAAGCCAUAAUAUGUUGGUUGCUUCUUCUCAUCAGAAUGGAUACAACACUGAUAUCUCGUUUCAUUAUAUAC